GCUGCAGCUGGUGUGAGAUGUUGGGACUGCUAUGCACUCUAUGCAUUGGGUAAAGCCGGCUCAAUUGGUAGUUGUUCUGAAAACUCGUUUCUGGCGGCUCGUGACUGUAUCCAUCAGGUGAUUCUGAUUUGGGAGAGGAGCAAGUAGAGACGGUGAAGGAAGGUCGUGUUUUGAUGGGAGCACGAAGAGCAGUAGCACUCUUGGAUGUGCGAAGAAUGCCAUUGAUGGCUUCAAUG